rnacentral:rRNA from 1 species
GGUUAAGUGACUAAGCGUACACGGUGGAUGCCUUGGCAGUCAGAGGCGAUGAAGGACGUAUUAACUUGCGAUAAGCCCAGAUUAGGUAGUAAAAACCAUUUGAGUCUGGGAUUUCCGAAUGGGGAAACCCAAUACCAUAAGGUAUUACUGUUGAGUGAAUACAUAGCUCAACAGGGCGAACCGGGGGAACUGAAACAUCUAAGUACCCCGAGGAAAAGAAAUCAACCGAGAUUCCGAAAGUAGCGGCGAGCGAAAUUGGACUAGCCCUUAAGCUUUACACGCGUUAGACGAACAGCCUGGAAAGGCCGACGAUACAGGGUGAUAGUCCCGUAGUUGACGACGUGUGUUCAGUGAAAUCGAGUAGGGCGGGACACGUGAUAUCCUGUCUGAAUAUGGGGGGACCAUCCUCCAAGGCUAAAUACUACUGACUGACCGAUAGUGAACCAGUACCGUGAGGGAAAGGCGAAAAGAACCCCUGUGAGGGGAGUGAAAUAGAACCUGAAACCGUGUACGUACAAGCAGUAGGAGCAGGCUUGUCCUGUGACUGCGUACCUUUUGUAUAAUGGGUCAGCGACUUAUAUUCAGUGGCAAGGUUAACCAUCUAGGGGAGCCGUAGGGAAACCGAGUCUUAACUGGGCGUUCAGUCUCUGGAUAUAGACCCGAAACCAGGUGAUCUAGCCAUGGGCAGGUUGAAGGUUGAGUAACAUCAACUGGAGGACCGAACCGACUAAUGUUGAAAAAUUAGCGGAUGACUUGUGGCUAGGGGUGAAAGGCCAAUCAAACCUGGAGAUAGCUGGUUCUCCCCGAAAGCUAUUUAGGUAGCGCCUCGGACGAAUACUACUGGGGGUAGAGCACUGUUAAGGCUAGGGGGUCAUCCCGACUUACCAACCCUUUGCAAACUCCGAAUACCAGUAAGUACUAUCCGGGAGACACACGGCGGGUGCUAACGUCCGUCGUGGAGAGGGAAACAACCCAGACCGCCAGCUAAGGUCCCAAAUUACUACUAAGUGGGAAACGAUGUGGGAAGGCUCAGACAGCCAGGAUGUUGGCUUAGAAGCAGCCAUCAUUUAAAGAAAGCGUAAUAGCUCACUGGUCGAGUCGGCCUGCGCGGAAGAUGUAACGGGGCUAAGUAGUAAACCGAAGCUGCGGCAAUG